rnacentral:rRNA from 1 species
GUAGUCCACGCCGUAAACGAUGGGCACUAGGUGCUCUGGGGAGCGACCCCCGGGGUACCGGCGCUAACGCAUGAAGUGCCCCGCCUGGGGAGUACGGCCGCAAGGCUGAAACUCAAAGGAAUUGACGGGGGCCCGCACAAGCGGUGGAGCAUGUGGUUUAAUUCGACGCAACGCGCAGAACCUUACCUAGGCUUGACAUGCUGGUGAAACCCGGUGGAAACAUCGGGCCCUCUUCGGAGCAUCAGCACAGGUGCUGCAUGGCUGUCGUCAGCUCGUGUCGUGAGAUGUUGGGUUAAGUCCCGCAACGAGCGCAACCCCCGCCCCGUGUUGCUAACAGGCUGCAAAGCGCUGAGGACUCUCGGGGGACUGCCGGUGCCAAACCGGA